GGUCUUUUUUUUUUUUUUUUUUAGUUUUAUUCAUUUCAAACGGCCGGAUCCGGCCCGCGGGCCGUAGUUUGCCCACGGCUGGUCUAGGGAGAGGAGCGGCUGGUGUCUGGCUGGGGUUGGUCUCCGGGGCACGUCCCAGGGUUCUCUCCUACCUGAACCAGGCCUGGAGCCUGCAGAAGUCAACGCCAGCUCUUCUGGUUGUGCGCCAGCGUCAGGCCCGGGACUGUCAUUUAGGAGGUGGGUCUCUGCAGGGGAAGACGGGGCCUGGCAACCCUUCUCCUGGUCGCACCGCAUCCUCUGGUUCUUGGGCUGCCCUUGUCCACUUGCGAUUCCGCCAAGACUCUAGUCCACGGCUGCCUGUGGGCAGAAGGCACCAGGUUCUGACUUGUCUGGGUGGAGCAAAGACGAGUCCUUCCUGGGCGUGCCCUGGGGCAGCGAGGCCAGCCACUGGCCAGACCAAGCAUUGGGGAGAAUUGUGCCACUGUGGAGACCCGCGGCCCCCUACCCAGCAGAGCGUCCCCUGAGCGGUGGGGGGGUGGGCCAGGGUCACGUGAGGGGACACCAUCUUCACGCACCUGCCAGCCAGUCGACUGCGAACUCACCUGGAGUUGUCAAGGACAGCAAGAAAAAUAAGGGACUUUCAGGGGCAGCUGUGUUUUCUGACUCAAGUCAUAAUGCCCCUAAAAAUCCUUAUUGCUCUUGCAGUGGGCAUCGGGCAGUGGCUGGCAACCCACCCCUCACCCACCUGGCCGCUGAGGGAUGGGAAGGGCUUCCAGGGGUCCAAUUGAGACUUGCUGAUUGUUAAAACGCGUUCGUUGGGCCGAUGCAUUGCCUUGCAUGUGUUUUGACCAUUGCUUGGUGGGGGAUUGGGCAUCCAGCUAGUCCUGCAUGGAUUGGAGAGUCUCCUGGGUUUGUGCGGGUGAAGGUUCAGAAGGGCCCAGCUGCACAUGCAGGGCACGAGGAAGGGCGGCCUUGGGGCCAGGUAGGUCGAGGGCCACAGUGUUGGGCUGGCUGGGUGCCCCGUGGGCAGGAACUGGCACUGUGUCUUAACGCAGAAAGAGCCUCAGUUCCCUCCCUCAGACCCCGUGAGCUGGCCAGUUUGCAAACACGCCUGCAGGGGGUUCAAGCCUCCCCUCCCCUCUCCCCUCAGGUGACCCUGGAGCUUGCUGGGUGUUUUCUCUCCCUAUUUCACUUCCUGAAUCUCCUCCAUUCUCAGUAGGUGCCCCCAACCCCACCUCUUCUGUCCCCACCCCCACAGAUAUUUCGGUUAAGCCAAGGCCUUGAGUGGGGAUUGUUAAGCAGCCAAAAUAUCCAUUUGUGACAUGCGCACCCCCCCCCCCCCCCUCCCAACCCAGGAACACCAGUCCACAAUCAGGUCACCAACCCACCCUGGCUGCCGUGGCUGGGUUGGUUGUGGUUCCAUGCACCAAAAAGUCCCUGGUUCGAUUCCUGGCAAGGGCACAUACCUAGGUUGCAGGUUCAGUUCCUGGUCUGGAUGCAUACGGGAAGCAGCUAAUCGAUGUUUCUCUAAAAUCAAUAAAAAACAUUUUUUUUAAAGUCACCAAAUCCCACAGCAACAGAAUCUUCCUGUCUAGCUGAGGCUGAGCCGUGGGCUGCCCGUGGAUGGACAGACGAGGCAGUGAACAGGCAACAAGCCCCAUCUUGUGUCCCGUUGACCUACCGGUCAGCAGGGGCGAGUCACCCUCCAGGUAUUUCUCAGGUUCCCUCCCAGGUGCUGACUCGAAAGCUCUCAUCACUCAAGAAGACCGUAUGUGGAACCUUGACCGCCAUGAUCCUCAUUCCUGGCCAGCCAGGCCCCUUGCUACCCGGGGCCCGAUCGUCUGAGCCUGCCUCCACACCAGCUCUCCCAGACAGUUUCUAAGGAGCUGGAUUUGCACCGGAUCCUCCUCAUUUUACUGCCCCAGGGGAGGGGCAGCUCCAAGAAGGAAGACAGAGGCCAAGGAGAUCAGGAGACUUGCCCGAGGACACACAGCUAGGAUGUGGCAGAGGUAGGGUUGAGGUCUGCGGCUCCUGACUCCCAAGGCAGAGCCCUGUGACAUCACAGAAAAGCAGCCUUGGAGGACCUCGAAUGAGUCUGGGGCCUGUCCCUGACGACCUGGCCACUGCAGAGGCGCCUGGAGAGGAUCACCCCUCCUCCACCAAGUACCCCUGGUGUUCAGGUGGGGCCAGUUCCACCCCCUGGCUUGAGAGGCAGGCACGUGUCCCAGGAUGGACGCUGAGACUUCCCCUCGGGACUUUUGCAGUGACUAUGAGGAAAGAGGCAUUCGGUUUUUGUGGGAGUUGCCAAGCUUGGAACUGCUGGUGGCCAUCCUGUUCUCUGCUUGAGGAUAAAGCCAACAAGGAGCAAAGAGAAGGCGAGUGUAUUCUAUCCAGACAUCAGUAAGCCCCUGGAUCAAGCCAUGCCUGAAGCCAACUGCAGCCCUGGACUAACCUGAUUAUAUGAACCAAUGCCGUUUUCUCCGAACACUGUCUGGAGUUGGGUUUCUGGCAUAGAAAGGGUCCUAAGAAUGGCAAUGGUUUUCUUUGCUCUCAUUUUUAGAAAGUCACCCUUGAGGCAUACUUUACAUGCGAUAGAUUUCACCCAUGUUAAGUGUCCAAUUCAUAAGUAGUUACAGCCUUGUAACUAUCACCAGCAUUCAAGUUCCCUCCUUCCCCUUUAUGGCCCAUUUUCCCAACUCCAGAGAACCACCGACCUACCUAUCUUCUAAAGGUUCUUUUUGCCUUUUCUAGAAUUCCAUAUAAAUAUCACAUAGUGUGUUCUCUCCUGUGUCUGCCUUCUUUUAGUCAACAUGUUUUGGAGAUUUAUUCAUGUUGUUGCGUGUACCAAUAGUUCAUUCCUUUUUGUUGCCAAGUACAGUGGGGCCUUGACUUACGAGUUUAAUUCGUUCUGAGACCGAGCUCGUUAAGGAGCUCGUUAACUCAAAUUACUUUAUCAACGGAAUGCAAAAAAUCGGCGGAGAGACAGCUGGUAUCUCAAAAAACUCGUUAGUCGGGACACUCGUAAGUCAAGGCCCCACUGUAGUGUUCUAUUGUAUGGACGUACCACAGUUUGUUUAUCCAUUUAUGGGAUGAUGACCAUUUGGACUAUUUCCAGAUUUUGGCUACUGUGAAUAAAACUGUUAUAACAGUCA